AUAAUCCAAUCACUUCUCUCCCCAACACGUGGGGAUUACAAUUCAAGAUGAGGUUUGGGUAGGAACACAAAACCUGACUAUAUCACACAGCAUGUCCAGGUUGCCCCAGCACCACCCAGUAGAAGAGAAAAGGACAGAGGGAAAGUCCAAGCGGAAAGAAACCUCAGUCUCAGCUAAUUGUGGUGACAAGAUAUUGCUUUUGCAAAUUGUACAUAAACGCAUGACCAGGUGAAUGUAUCGCCAAGGCUCCUGCCAAGGCCUGGAAUGGAGGCCUAGAGAAGAUGCCCGAAAGUUUAUGCUGUGAGCUUCACAGAAGACCUACCUUCCAUGUAUACCCAUUUUACAGGUGUCUGUACAGUGCACAAACUGUACAACUGUACACAGUGACCAUUUCUACUUUGGGUCUCUAAACAAGGGCUGGUAUCAUUAUAGUGCCUGAAGACUGAGGAGGACCGUUCCUGUAGGAUGCCAAGGAUUGACUAGAGAAAGUCUGGAAUUUUCCACAAAUGAGUUCAUUUAUAAAGAGAAAGGCAAGCUUUGAUGACAACACCUUCACAAAACGGGGUCCUCUGAAAACAUUGGUCUGGAUUGAGGAGGUGGAGCAGCAUGAAGUACACAUCACUCCAACAGAAGAGAAGCAAUUUGGAGGAGAAGAAAAAUCAGUCCUUCAUGAAAGGAUCACACUGAUCUUGGCUCAUCCCAGUGCCUCCUCUGCAGACAAUCUUGUCCUCAGUCUUUCAAUUGUUUUCUUCCCAUGCCCUGACAAACGAACCAGAUCAGGAAUUUAGGAGGAGCUUACCUAAUGGCACCUGAUUACCUAAUGGCAUCCUCACCAGCUUACCUAAUGGCACCCUCACCUGGUUCUGGCUCCGGGCCUCUCACAAGAUUGUACACAUGAUGAUGGCCAAGCUUGCGGUCAUCUAAAGGCUUGACUGGAGCUGGAGGCUACACUUCCAAGAUGGCUCACUCAUAUUGCUAAAGCAAUUACAGCUCACUGCAGUCUUGACCUCCCAGGCUCAAGCAAGCCUCCUGCCUCAGCCUCCCAAGUAGUUGGGACUACAGAUCUCUUUCAAUGCAGAAGUUUAAAGAAGACACUUAAAAAUGUGUUUAAGAUCUCUUUAAACUGAAGUCUUCUGAACAAGUGAAACAGGUACAUGCCUGGGAAGACAGCCAGGGAACAGGCAGCUACAUCAACCAAGAAGGCUGACAACAUGUUCCAUCCCACAACUAUGUGGUAAUUGCAAAGAUGAGAAAACAGCAGAGAUCCUCCAACCAGCCCUGGAAUGAGUUUAAGGGAGAGAAAUCAUGCAAUCUCCUAGUAACAUGGCAUCUGUAAAUUCA